GUGAAUCAUCAAAUUUUUGAACGCAAAUUGCACUUUCUGGUAUUCCGGAAAGUAUGUCUGUUUGAGGGUCUGAUAAAUAACAUUCGGUGUUGUUGCUGCUUUUCGUGGUGACGAGUCGGAAUUUAUUUGUCUUACCUUCGGUUAAGUGACUUAAAAUUUUGCUUGAUUUUAGAACGUAUUUAAAUAUCUUACGCACGUUUGAGAUAUCGUAUACUUUUUUAGUAUCGGUCAUCCUCAUAACUCACACCUAUAAUUUUUCAUUAAUUGCU
rnacentral:misc_RNA from 1 species